rnacentral:lncRNA from 1 species
UGCUGGAGGCAGCAGAUCUCGUUGACACCUGGUGGGUCCUCCAUGCUGAUGAGUGCCAAUACACCUGGGCAAAGAUGAGCACCAGUGGGAUCGCCAUGGCCCGCCUCGACCACCUUUACAUCGCCCAGCACCAUCUGCCGUUACUAAACAGCAGCUGCAUCAUCCCAUUGGGCCUCUCAGACCAUGCCCUGGUGUGCUUCAAACUGAGCCUGGCUGGCAGACCACGCACGUGGGCCCCUUGCUGGUGCUUUAACAUCAGCCUGCUACAGGACACCAACUUCAGGGACUGCUUUGCCCACCUUUGGAGGAGCUGGCAGGCUGCGCGAGCAGACUGCCCCUCCUGGCGGCUGUGGUGGGACAUGGGGAAGAUCCAGAUUCAGGCAUUCUGCCAGCAGUAUUCCCAGCUGGGGGCAAACAAGAUCCACCGCUGCACCCAGGAGCUGGAGGAGGAUGUGGUGGUGCUUGAGGCAGCCCUGCUUCAUGCAGGCAAUAACGCGGCACUCCUCGAGAGCUUCCAGUCCCGCAAGAAAUGCCUGCAGGAGCUGGUGGAGGGUGCGGCCCACGGUGCACAGGUUUGUGCCCGAUGCCAGGAGCUGGCAGAGGCCGACUCCCUGACUGGCUUCUUCUUCGGCCUGGAGAGGUGGCAGGCUGUGGCAAAGACAUUGGACCAUCUCAAGACCCCAGAGGGAUGGCUGCUCAUGGACCCAGGCAAAGUGCGGGGACAUGUUAUUGCCUUCUAUUGGGACUUGUUUGCAGCUAACCCCAUUUGUCCAGAGGCCGCUCAGCAGCUGCAUAAGGACCUGCUGUGCCUCGGCGCUUUGCAGGUUGAGGCCCUGGAGCAUGAACUCUCCGUGGCAGAACUCAUGGCUGCUGUGGGGGGAUUUGCCUCAGGCAGGGCCCCGGGCCUUGAUUGACUGCCCGUUGAAUUUUACAAAGUCUUCUGGCCUCUCCUUGGGUCCAGCCUCCUCCAUGUUUUCCAUGAGAGCCUCACUGAAGGGACCCUGCUGACCAGCUGCCACCAGGCAGUGCUCACCUUGCUGCCCAAGAAAGGGGACCUCAGCUACCUUAAGAACUAGCGGCCCAUCUCCCUUCUGUGCGCCAACUAUAAGAUCCUGGUGAAGGCGCUGGUGAACCAUCUCCGCACUGUCAUGGCCUCUGUCAUUGGGCUUGAGCAAAGCUACUGUGUCCCAGGCAGGACCAUCCAGGACAGACUGUUUC